CAGGAAUCGCCUGAGAACACAUAGGUGCUACCUACCUUCCUGAAGGAUCUGGUGCCCAGUGUGACAGAGAACACCUGGCAGCUCCAUUUAGGUCCCAGUGUUCCCAACCCUUGCUUUUGCUCUCAACACAAAAAGAAAUGGAGAACGAAGCCGUGAAGCCUGGUGAGGUAAGCCACACCAGGCGCCAAAGCCAGCUGCUCCCUUAGAACCCAGGGAGAGGUUUUAGGUAAAGAAAAUGCAGAUUUAUUGAUUUUCAACUUCUUCCUCUUCAGUGGAAUGAAGGUAUUUUCUGAAGAGUGGUCCUUUGGCAUCUAAUCCCAGAACUCAAGAGGAGGAAACAGUUGUCAUAUUCAAAUUGAAGAAGCUCUAGAAGUCUGCCCCAUUUUAAACCUCUCCGGUUUUCCAUCCGAGAAACUUCAGAGACUUAAAGAAGUUUGUGGUUUGGAUCUGAAGUGUCCCUCAUAGACUACUGUGUUGAAGACUUGGUUCCCACCCAGUGCCACUAUUUUGGGAGGCUGUGGAAACCUGAGAAGGCCAGGCCUGUUUGGAGGAAGUAGGUCAGUGGAGGAGCGCCCCUAAAGGUCAUUGCUGACUCCUUGUCGUCUUCACACUCCGCCUCCUGCUCACCACGAGGUGAUAAACCUCUCCUGCUCCAUGCUUCUGCUACCAUGACAUUUUGGUCUAAAUUCAUGGAGCACAGUAGCCAUGGAGGAGUGACCCUCUAAAACUGAGAGCCAAGGGGCUGCUGAGAUGGCUCAGCGGUUAAGAGCACCAACUGCUCUUCUAAAGGUCCUGAGCUCAGAUCCCAGCAACCACAUGGUGGCUCACAACCAUCUGACUCUCUCUUCUGGUGUGUCUGAAGAAAGCUACAGUGUACUUACAAUAAAUAAAUAAAUAAAUAAAUAAAUAAAUAAAUAAAUACAUC
rnacentral:lncRNA from 1 species